GGUGACUAUUAGGAGCCACCGUAGCCUUCUUUUCUUCUCUCAUAUUGCACACCUGGUGAAAAUUAUCUUUCUUUCAUCAAUUUCCCAAUCAAACGCACUUGUUUUAACCUUUCAAAUUUAGAGCUCUCAACUCGUCCGUGAAUCUCCACUCAAACUGCACCUAUUUGCUUCUCUUUUAUAAUUCUCAUUUCAUCUUUAUCCAAAAAAAAAAAAAAAAAAACCCAUUUCAUCGCAUCUUUAAUCUUUCUUACCUUCUCCUCUUUCUGCAUCUUCUCAAUCUUUAGUUAACAUACCAUAUCUAUGGCUAACCUCACCAAUUUUUCUACUCGCAAACAGGAAUAUGAUAUCUUCUUGAGUUUUAGAGGUGAAGAUACCCGUAAUAAAUUUGUAAGCCAUUUAUAUGAAGCUUUGUGUAACGCAGGCUUUUACACCUUCAUUGAUAAUAAACUUCAAAGAGGAGAAAUAGUUUCAAAACAACUUUUCAAAACAAUUAAAAUGUCCAAGAUUUCAAUUGUUGUACUUUCUGAAAACUAUGCAUCUUCUAGUUGGUGUUUGGAUGAACUUGACUAUAUUCUCAAAUGUAAGAAAAAGGGCCAGAUCGUGUUGCCGGUUUUUUACGAAGUGGAACCAUCGGAAGUACGUAAACAAGAGCAAAAGUUUGGAGACAACUUAAGUAAACAUGAAGAAAAAUUCAAGGAUAAGGUGCAAAAUUGGAAAGCAGCUCUAAAUGAAGUUGGUCAUUUGUCUGGAUGUCAUUACAAAGGCGGUUUGGAAACUAAAUUUAUUCAGGAAAUUAUUGAAGAGAUUUCAAAAUUCAAAAUAAUGGGAAAACUCUUAUAUGUUGCCAAAUACCCUAUUGGAGUAAAUUCUCGUGCUAGGGAUGUAGAAUCUCUUAUAGAUAUUAAGUCAAAUGAUGUACGUAUCGUAGGAAUUCAUGGUCUUGGGGGAAUCGGUAAGACUACAAUUGCAAAAGUUGUUUACAACAAAAUUGUUGGUAAUUUUGAAAGAAGCUGCUUUUUAGCAAAUGUCAGAGAAAAUUCAAGGACAGAUGAUGACACAAUUAAGCUACAAGAGAAAAUUGUUUCUAAAAUUUUACAAAACCCACAUUUGAAGGUGAACAAUGUAUCCGAAGGAAUUAAUGUGAUAAAGGAAAUGCUUCGUAGUAAAAGGGUUCUUUUGGUUCUUGAUGAUGUGAAUGAAUCAAAACAAAUAGAAAAUUUUCUUGGAAAACAUGAUUGGUUGGUAUCAGGAAGUAGAGUCAUUAUAACAACAAGAGAUAAACACUUGCUAACUGCUCUUGGGAAAGUUUGUACAACUAAAAAUUAUGAGGUCAAGGAAUUAGACAAUCAUGAAGCUCUUGAACUCUUUAGUCAAUAUGCUUUCCAAAAAGUCGAGCCCGAUGAAGAAUAUUCUGAACUUACAAAUCAAGCCUUGUAUUAUGCCAAAGGUCUUCCAUUAGCUCUAGAAAUAAUAGGUUCUAAUUUAUGUGGGGAAACAAAACCUAUAUGGGAAAGUACACUACGUAAAUAUGAAAAAUAUCCCGAUGAAAGAAUUAAUAAAAUACUUGAGGUAAGUUAUGAUGGAUUGGAAGAAAACGAAAAGAAUAUAUUUCUUGAUAUUUCAUGUUUCUUCAAGGGAAGGUCUAUAUAUUUUGUUGAAAAUAUAUUAGACAAGUGCAAUUUAUAUCCAAAGUCUGGUAUUCCAAUACUUGUUCAUAAAUCCCUCGUAACUAUUGAUCAAUAUGGUGAAUUGUCGAUGCAUGACUUGAUACAACGAAUGGGUAUGAAAAUUGUUCAGCAGGAAUCGCCAAAUAAUCCCAGAAAACGUAGCAGGUUAUGCAAUUAUGAGGAUGCUAUUCAAGUACUACUUGGAAAUAAGGAUUCUGAUUAUAUUCGUGGUAUAAUGCUGCAUUCACCUACUCCAGUGAAAGUGCGAUUACACCCUGAAGUUUUCAAAAUGAUGGAAAAUCUCAAAUUUCUAAUGGUUGAUAAUGUUCAAAUUUCUGAAGAACUUACAUAUUUCCCUAGUGGUCUAAGGCUUCUUAAAUGGCCAAAAUAUCCUUUUAACUUUCCAUCCAACUAUUGCCAUCAACAACUUGUUGCACUCGAGAUGCCGGAAAGUUGCAUUAGAUUGGAGAAGAUAUUUAAGCAGGAGUAUUUGUAUGAAAAUCUAAAAAGUAUUAAUUUGAGUUGGUGUGAAUUCAUUAGAAAACUUCCUGGUUUUCGCGCUCCAAACUUAGAGAUAUUGGAGUUGCGUUGUUGUGAAAAUUUAACUGAGGUCCAUGACAACAUUGGAUUACUUGAUAAGCUUAAAUAUUGGAUGCUUCAGGGUUGCAUGAAGCUCGAAAUUCUUCCCAGUAAGUUCAAUUUGAAAUCUCUUGAAUAUUUAAAUCUAGCAAACUGCAGAAGGCUUAAAAACUUCCCCCAGAUUCAUCCAGAAAUGAAAUGUUUGAAGGACUUAGAAAUAAAUUUGAAUGGUACUUGUGUUAGGAAAUUGCCCUCAUCACUAAGGUAUCUCACCGGUGGGCUUAAGGGUUUAUACCUACUUACGGUUCAAAAUGUAGAUCUCAGCUUUGCGCAAUAUGGGUUUAAGAGCUUGACAACUCUACGUCUCAGCCAUUUGGAUUUAAAUAUUUUGUUGAGGCCCAAUUACUUCCCGGUAUUGGAAACUCCAGAUCUCAGCUUUUUGCAAUAUGGGUUUUUGAGUGUGAAAUUUCUAGAACUCAUCUUUGCUAAUAGGGAUAUGGUUGAAUUAAAUAUUUGGUUCAAGCCCGAUUACUUCCCGGUAUUGGAAACUCUACGGAUAUGUGGCUCCGAAAUUGUUACCAUACCUGAAAGCAUUACCAAAUUUACUAGAUUGCAAUUUCUUGAACUAAUUAAUUGCAGGCAGCUUCAGGAAAUUCCAAGGCUUCCACAAUCUAUAGUAAAACUGGAAGCACGGGGGUGCCCUUCGUUGGAUCUACAAUCAUCACGGAGAUUAUUAGACCAGUGUGGGGAAUUUCUAGGGAUUUUACCAAGAAGCAAUGUAUUCUUUGACCAUGAUUUUGGAAUUAUAAUACCAGGAGAUAAGACUCCAAUGUGGUUCAAAUCGAACGAUCAUCACAGUGUUGGAAAUUCCAUAUCAUUCAGGGUUGGACCCGAAAUUCCAAAAUUUGGUGUCUUUAUUGCUUUUCAAUCGAUGAAGCCAUAUAGAUUUGUAAAGUGUAAUGUGAAGGUUCUCAUCAAUGGUGAGGCAGAAGACGACAGUAACGACAGAAGUGGCUUUUAUCCAUUCACGGAUUAUCUGUAUGAUCAUCAUCUGUGGUUUAUUUGUGUAUCUCGUGGGUUAUAUUAUGAAUCACAUCCAUCUGGAGUGAAUCACAUUGAAGUUGUAUGUGAAGUUAAUGAUAAUCCUGAUCGUAAACUAAUACCAGCAGAUGAUAACACUGACUGCAUAAAAUGGAUGGGGGUCCAUGUAGAAUGCAUUUGUUGUUGUCCAGGGUCGCCCAUUAGACAGCGGAGACGGGUCUCUCCUCCAAUGGAUCUAACAUAUUUGGGAUUUACAGAUGGAUUUGAUUUGGGUUCAUCUUCAAUGACCCAGAUUUUGCCACUGGUUUCCUCCACUUCUUAUUGUUCAGAUUUAAAUCAUGGGGUUUCCAACAGUGGAGGACAUUCCAGGCGUGCCAGAAUCCGACUGCGACGGAAAAUAAGAAUUCGACUCCGUCGGAAAAGCCUAGCAGAAAGCAGAGCUCUCCUCCAACCCCUUCCAUGUGGCAAGACUGGGCUAAAGAUGAAGCUUCUCUUAACACUUGCUAUCUUUGUCAUCCUUAUUCAAUCUCUUCUUCUUCUUCUUCUUCUUCUUCAUUUUGCAAACAACACAUAAUUAUGAUUUAAGAGAAGAGAAUAUCCUUGAAGACACUGCCACCUAUCUCUACUAAGUUACCUGGACUUGCUGCUGUUGAGGUAAUUAGAGGCCCCAAGAAUCCCUUCCACCUUGUAAUGUUUUUUGCUUAGCUUAGUAUCAAUCAAGUGCCAAGUAAGGUUACCUUCAAUGUUUGGGAAUAGCUCAAUACCUCUGUUGUUCAUAGAGCUACCUUGCGAGUAGGAAUCAUUAAGUGGUAUAUAGCAUGCAUUAAGUGGUUAUGUAUGAAGGGUAAAAAUUUUUUACAGGUCAUAUGCAAACUUGCUUGGUCUAUAGUGGUUUCUUAUGUUUGGCUUCAAAGAAAUGCUCCCGUAUUCAACGGCAAUGUCAAAUCUAAGGUGAUUAUUCUCCUUAUGAUUAGAAGAGACAUUAAGGCCUAGGUUGAAUUUGUGAAGAGGGAAAAUUUUGUUACCAAAUAGUCUUCUAUUAAUUGGGGUGAAUUUCUCUAUUUUUGAUGAUAGCCACAAUUGUAGGGUUCUUGUUUGAUUAUUUGCAAGUUCAGUUUUAGUUGCUAUUUAGUUUGAUGCUUGCUCUAUUUGUUAUGCUAUUUGUAUGGUUUGUUACCUGAAUACAUUCAUUCAUUCAUAAAAAAUUAUGCCUAUCUAUAAUUCUAGUUAACCUUUUUUGCUUACUUCUUUUCUAAUGCCGAACAAACUACAAUGAAAGUGUGCAUCCAAACAUGAAUUGCUUGCAGACAAACUAUUAAUCUUCUAACUAAUUCGUAUAAAGAACAUUUUUUUAUUGAUUCCAUUGCUCCUCCUAUGCACUAUUCUUCUCCAUAUUUUUAUCUUUUCUAAUUUAGUUUUAUUGUUGAGAACUUCUAGAUUUGGAUAGAAUGUGUAAGAAAAUGUAAUUUUUGAGAAAUGGCCUGCAACAAUUUAGGUCCAUAUCCUUUGCAAGUUAAAAACCAGAUGUGAUUAAGAUUUUUAUGUUCUGUACAAUUUUUUGUUUUUUAUUUUUCAAUUUGUAUCAUUUUUUUCUAUGUAUCCUAUUUUUAUGAUAUAAAAUUUAAUG